GCCUGACUGGUUCAGUUCAUAGAGCAUGUGACUCUUGAUCUUGGGGUUGUGGGUUUGAGCCCCAUGUUGGGUA
rnacentral:tRNA from 1 species